GCAGACUUUACCUUUUUUACCUUUACUUCUGGUUUCCAUGUCAGAAAGAAGUCCUUGAAGAGUCCAGAAUCAUGAUUCCAGACUGUAAAAGACGCCUCAAGACUGCUUAUGAUGAUUUGAAAAAACUUGUAGCAGAUACAGAGGAGUUAUGUGAAACAGAAGAACACAAGAAUGCAAAGGCAAUUCUGGAAAACACUGUCCUAGAAGAAUAGGAUUUUGAUUAUAGUGCAGUCUAGGUAACAUUUUAUCUCAUUACAGUGAGUGUUAAAAAGAUAAGUGUGAGUUGAAUGUGAAAGACAUUCUCAUACAAUCAAAAAGGUUGAUUUAUUUAAUCUUAUGUCAGAGUGUGUGGUCAGAAGCUUACCUUUUUGUGUGACUAUUAAUAUUACUACACGUAUUAAAUUAUUGCUGUUUAGAUGUUUUUUUUUUAAACUUGGAUGCUGUACAUGUAUUAAGUAAAACAAAAAGUUCUCAACUUCUUUACUUGUUAGUCUUGUUUCACCUUCAGUUUGAACAACUGACCUCCUGUUGUUAUAGUUAAGAAAGAGAAAACAUGUAUUGUACCAUGUUUCUAUCGAGUUUUAUUAUAAAUCUACUUGUGUCCUAUUGA